GAUGAACGCUGGCGGCGUGCCUAAUACAUGCAAGUCGAACGCGAGCACUUGUGCUCGAGUGGCGAACGGGUGAGUAAUACAUAAGUAACCUGCCCUAGACAGGGGGAUAACUAUUGGAAACGAUAGCUAAGACCGCAUAGGUACGGACACUGCAUGGUGACCGUAUUAAAAGUGCCUCAAAGCACUGGUAGAGGAUGGACUUAUGGCGCAUUAGCUGGUUGGCGGGGUAACGGCCCACCAAGGCGACGAUGCGUAGCCGACCUGAGAGGGUGACCGGCCACACUGGGACUGAGACACGGCCCAGACUCCUACGGGAGGCAGCAGUAGGGAAUUUUCGGCAAUGGGGGAAACCCUGACCGAGCAACGCCGCGUGAAGGAAGAAGGUUUUCGGAUUGUAAACUUCUGUUAUAAAGGAAGAACGGCGGCUACAGGAAAUGGUAGCCGAGUGACGGUACUUUAUUAGAAAGCCAC
rnacentral:rRNA from 1 species